GUACUGAUGAUGAGUCCAAAAAACUGGGACGAAACAGCUGUCCAGUAC
rnacentral:hammerhead_ribozyme from 1 species